AAGUCGUAACAAGGUUUCCGUAGGUGAACCUGCGGAAGGAUCAUUACCGAGUUUUGGGUUGCUAUUUUAGCGCCUAACUCCCACCCUCUGUAUAUCAAACCUAUUUUAUCUUUGGCAAAGCGUUUGAAGCUUCUGGCUAAAAACCAUUGAUGGCGAAAGCUAUGAGUGAGUCUCUGCCAAAGUUUUUACAAACUCUUAUUAUCAAAAUGUUGUCUGAGUAAAACAAACAAAUAAAUAAAAACUUUUAACAACGGAUCUCUUGGUUCUGGCAUCGAUGAAGAACGCAGCGAAAUGCGAUAAGUAAUGUGAAUUGCAGAAUUCAGUGAAUCAUCGAAUUUUUGAACGCAUAUUGCACCUUUGAGUAUUCUCUAAGGUAUACCUGUUUGAGCGUCGUUUGAACAUUAAAGCUUUGCUUUUUAUUAGAUUUUGGUCAGUAAUGACCAAUUUCUCAAACACAGUGGCAUUAUUUUGUUAGCCGAUACACAGUGAAAAUGUGUGUUUAUUAAUGAAAAUGAUUGCCAAUUAAUUUUAUUGUUCGACCUCAAAUCAAGUAAGACUACCCGCUGAACUUAAGCAUAUCAAUAAGCGGAGGAAAAGAAACCAACAGGGAUUGCCUUAGUAACGGCGAGUGAAGCGGCAAAAGCUCAAAUUUGAAAUCUGCCAACAGGCCGAAUUGUAAUUUGUAGAGGAACGUUCGGUGACGCCUAAGUCCGAGUCUUCUGGAAGGAAGCGCCAAUGAGGGUGAGAGCCCCGUAGGAUGACUGGCUGAGCCUUGUGUACGUCCUUCGAAGAGUCGAGUUGUUUGGGAAUGCAGCUCAAAACGGGUGGUAAAUUCCAUCUAAAGCUAAAUAUUGGCCAGAGACCGAUAGCGCACAAGUAGAGUGAUCGAAAGAUGAAAAGCACUUUGGAAAGAGAGUGAAACAGUACGUGAAAUUGUUAAAAGGGAAGCGCUAGCGACCAGACUUGUUUUUUGGGUUCAGCAGUUGAUUUCAAUUGUGUACUUCCCAGUUUACAGGCCAACAUCGGUUUCUUGGGUUGGAAAAAAUCAUUAGGAAUGUAACUCCCUUGGGAGUGUUAUAGCCUUUUGAAGAAUACGACCAUAGGAGACCGAGGACAGCCUUUUUGUAGGAUGUUGGCAUAAUGGUUGCUAGCGGCC
rnacentral:rRNA from 1 species